CCCGGGGGUGGGGGGCAGGGGAAUGGCUGGGUGCCUGGUGCUGGGGGCAGGGGGAGACUGGGUGACAUAUGGGCUUACCUACCCCUGACACCCUUGGACCCCUUAGAGUGGAGGUGUGGCCGUCCCACCUUGUAGAGAAGGGAACCGCGGCUCCACUGGCCUUGGUGGCAACAAGAAGGGACAAACAAGUCUCCAGGCUCCGGCUCACCUCUACUGCGGCCUCCAACACGGGGCUCAGAGGGGAGAGGGUGUGGGGGGUGCUGUCCUGCGUUUCUCUCUGAGCCGUCCUACCCCUGGCCUGUGAGUGCCCAGCCCCGGCCCCUCAGGCUUGAGGUGAGCUGGGCGUCCUGGGGGGCAGGGGGUGGUCUCACCACAGUCGCUGUCUCUCCUGAGACCGGACUGCAGUCUGCGUCUGUCCCCCUCUGCCUGCGCUUAGCAUCUGGUUUGCUUGCUUCCUGGGGAGCGUCUCUGCCCCGUAGCAUGUGCCUACCCGCCCCCGCCUCUCCGUGGCCUGAGCUGAGCCGCGUGGGCCAGUCCUAUGCACCCCGCACGCCUCGCCUUGCACCCACCCUCUCAAGCUCCGCUAAGUGCCGCGUGGCUGGUUUUCAGAAGGCCACGCCGUCUGCCAGUGACUGUCCCUCCUCCUCGGCUGUGCUGGGUCAUCGCCGUGGAGCACACGGUGUGUGUGUGGGGGGUCCUGAUUUAGUGACCAGGUGCUGCUCCGGGCAGGGCAGAGAGCGACAGCUGUUCCCUCUUGCAGGGUUGGGUUUGCUUGUUUUAUUUAUUUAUUUAAUUUUAUUUUUUAAGAAAGUAAGAUACAUCUUUCUUUUAAAUAUUUAUUUACUUAUUUUCCCUUUUGUUGCCCUUGUUUUUUAUUGUUGUUGUAGUAGUUGUUGUUGUUGAUGUCAUCGUUGUUAGAUAGGACAGAGAGAAAUGGAGAGAGGAGGGGAAGAGAAAGACAGACACCUGCAGACCUGCUUCACCGCCUGUGAAGCGACUCCCCUGCAGGUGGGGAGCCGGGGGCUCGAUCCGGGAUCCUGACGCCGGUCCUUGAGCUUAGCGCCACCGGUGCUUAACCCGCUGCGCUACCGCCUGACUCCCUGCUUGUUUUAUUUUUGUUCCUUUCAAGGUCUGGUUUUGUUAAAGUUGUCUUCGAGACACUGUUCUGGUCACUUCCUCAGAAUAACAGUCGAGUCACUGAACGCCCCUCCAGCCUGUCAUUUCAGACGGCUGAACUAGGAUAUGCCCCUCACUCGCCGUGAACGGGCACUGUGCUGACAUGGGCAUCCCCUCACUUGGUCCAGGCCACACUCCUCUCCCCUGCACGGAGGGCACAAUGGGUCAUUUCACAGAGGGCGAAACCGGGCUGAGGUCUGAAGGCUGCUUUUAUUUAUUUUCUGGAAGGUUCUGUGAGCCCUUCCAGAGGGCCGGCUGACCCAGCGCCAACACCCUUGUCCUGGCCGGUCUCUGAGACACCCCCUGUCCUUCAGGAGGGCAGAGAUGCAGCUACUCUGAGGCCCUGGGGGGGUCUGCAGCCUUGUCCUCUCCUCAGCUCAGCACCCCAAGCCCAGGGGAGCCCACCCCUCAGAACCCUUCCCAGCUGCUGCCCCUGCGGGAGACCGCGAGCCAGUGGAGUUUGUUCUGUUUUGUUCUUGUAAUCCCAGGACCCUCACUCACUCGCUGUGACCCUGGGCCCUACCCCCCCCCCCCCCAGUUAACUCUCUCUCUCACUUUGGGAAGGACUGAGCACGGGCCUUCGCACAGCCAAUACCAAAGCUGCCUUUGAAUCAGUAAGGUUAAUUGUCCUCCGUCCUUGGCAUUUGAAAUACUUCUCGCCCACCUGACAUUUCUGUCUCAAGCUUCCAAAGGGCUCAGAUCAAAGACUGCUGACAACCAGGCAAAUGGGGAAAGACCGAACAUGCCACUUUUGUUUCGUUUUGUUUUCUCCCAUGAUAACAGGCCUAGUCUUUCCAACCCAGUGAGGUGUCUCCAUCAGCUGACCGCGUCUGGUCCCGGUAAGGCCGAGGCGGGUAAGUGAGCAGGCCUGGCUCUGAGACCAACUUGUUGGCUUUGCCGACCCAGCUCUGGGGUCACCGCGAUAAGGAACGACCCUGCCCUGUUAGCCGCCAAGUCUGGAGUCAGCUUCAGGGGCCGUCCAGAGUCUUGUCUCCUUUGCAGAGAUGCCAUGUCCCCCCUUAUUUAGUGACCCUGCGAGACCAUCAGCUGCCUCUUUUUUGUUUUUUCCAAAUGAGAUGAACACUUUCACAGAAAAUUCAGAAAACAGCCCGAGAGAAAAACGAAUCCCAUGAGUACAGCUGUGCCUCGGUGCCUUGCAGGCCUGAGGGUCCCAAAGAUUCCCGUCCUUGUGGUCCUCAGCACGGCCCCUCACCCGCCUCACCCGCCUCACCCGCCAGCUCCCACCUUGCCGGCACAAGCCGAAAAGCUCGGACCGGCAAGUCCCUGUGUGUGUCCAUAUCUGAGCCGAGCACCCAGAGAGCGGGAGGUGGACAAGCCCACAGGCUGUACAGAGAAGCGGCCGACUGUGAGAUGAAAAGGGUCCUAGAGUGGCCUUGGCAGACGGCUGCAGGGGAGCCGUCCGUUGCCUGGCGCUGGCCACCCACCAGGGCCGCGGGUGGGGCAGCUCCCAGGGCUCGUCCCGCCCCGGGGCCCCACCGGGCACCGGCCUCAGAGGGUCUCCACUCGAACGCGCCCCCCCGGACCCCGUCACAGACAUCUUCACCCCUCGCCAGGAGCAGCCGCUCUCGUGGAGGGAUGGCAGUCCACGUGCCCACCGAAGCCGCUUCUGCCCAUCCCGUCCGCCCUGCCCCUGCAUGAGCAAGUGCCACCCCGUCCCCAGCAUCCCGCAUCCCGGGCAGAGCUGCCACGCCCCGCGGAGGCUCAGCACCCCUCUGCUGGGGGAGCUGGGGGAGCGCGGGCCCCUGUCCGUCUCCCUGCCCUUUGGCGGGGUCACCCGCAGGCGGAGGAGCGAUGGGAAUGCCGGUCAAACGGUGUAAAAAACUGUAAAUACAGGAAAAUUUCAUUUUUCUAAUAAAGAUAAUUUCUGCCAAUUGAUAUGAAAAGCGA